rnacentral:lncRNA from 1 species
CUCGAGUGAUGAGGGUAGUAAGAAGAAGGGCAAGGGACGAGACAAGUCUAGUGGUAAAAGGUGUUACAGUUGUGGUAAGUCUGGACACUUUAUUAGAGACUGUCCCAAGAAGAAAGAUAAGCUGAAGGGAAAGAUGAGAGGUGAGACGAAUUUGGUUGAGGGGUCGAGUUAUGACCCCAGUGAGGUUUAUUGAGUGUAAACCUAGUCACUGCAUAUGCAUCUGUGUGUGAUCCUUUCUGCAUGUGUGUGAUUGUCUAAAUUUUGUUGCAUAAUUAUCUGCUACAUCUCAAUGUGUUUGAUAUGUGCAUUUGCAUGAAUUUGAGACAUUAGGAUUACUUGGUGUAAUUGCUUGCAUGCAUAGUGGGUUACGAUGCAUUAGCAGUGUGUUGUGUGUCUUUUGGUGAGGUGGAGUAUAGAUGCCUAAGGGUACAUGGUGGUUUGUACCGAGGGAUGUAGAGUGUGACAUUUGGAUCACGAGUGGAGAUGUGAUCAAAUGUCUAGGAUCCUUUAUCUGGAAAGAGACCCUGAUCAGGUGGAGUGUAAGAGAGACACUUCUAUCACUUCUGUUAGGUGGAGACCCAUUAUCCACGUAGGUUGGGAGAAGUGAUGUGGAGAUAGAGGAUUAUCCCGUGGACUUAGGAUCUAUUGUGACUCACCAGUUAGACAUGAGUUGAGUGAUCUGUCUAGUGAGCGUGGUGGGCGAUGAGAGGAGAUAUGUGUUCUCGAGGUGUGAGCAACACGGAUUGGGAGAGGAUAAGUGUGGUGAGAUCUUUUCUUAGGAUCAUUUAUGCAUGUGUUGCAUAUGUGGUUGACCGUGGUUUGAUUGACUUGGU